UGGCUCAGUGGUAGAAUGCUUGCCUAGCAUGCAAGCAGCCCUGGGUUCAAUUCCCUG
rnacentral:tRNA from 1 species